ACGAACGCUGGCGGCGUGCCUAAUACCUGCAAGUAGAACGCACAGUUUAUACCGUAGCUUGCUACACCAUAGACUGUGAGUUGCGAACGGGUGAGUAACGCGUAGGUAACCUGCCUGGUAGCGGGGGAUAACUAUUGGAAACGAUAGCUAAUACCGCAUAAUAUUAAUUAUUGCAUGAUAAUUAAUUGAAAGGUGCAAUUGCACCACUACCAGAUGGACCUGCGUUGUAUUAGCUAGUAGGUGAGGUAACGGCUCACCUAGGCGACGAUACAUAGCCGACCUGAGAGGGUGAUCGGCCACACUGGGACUGAGACACGGCCCAGACUCCUACGGGAGGCAGCAGUAGGGAAUCUUCGGCAAUGGACGAAAGUCUGACCGAGCAACGCCGCGUGAGUGAAGAAGGUUUUCGGAUCGUAAAGCUCUGUUGUAAGAGAAGAACGGGUGUGAGAGUGGAAAGUUCACACUGUGACGGUAUCUUACCAGAAAGGGACGGCUAACUACGUG
rnacentral:rRNA from 1 species